AGCCAACCUGCUGGACUACCUGCUAGUACAGAAGUUGCGGGGAAGGUGGAACACAAACACCUAAGCAAAUACGGACAGGCAGAUAAAGAGGAAGAGGGCUAGCACAGUGUGGCAAGAGAACUGAUAGAAUGCAGUCCUUCUCCUCACGGAGCUGGUUUCCUGUUUGCUUUGUGCACAUCAAGACUUUGGAUAGAGACCAUCAAGAGGUCAACCUGUUGAUUCUUGAAUGCUCACAAGGACAUCAGGGGCCUGGGGUGGAUCAAGCAACCUACACGUUCUUCCUAAGUAUGGUGAAAGAGAGGUAAGAUUUAGCUUUUCAUUUUUUUUGA
rnacentral:lncRNA from 1 species